GGGAUAAUACUUGGAAACAGGUGCUAAUACCGUAUAACAAUCGAAACCGCAUGGUUUUGAUUUGAAAGGCGCUUUCGGGUGUCGCUGAUGGAUGGACCCGCGGUGCAUUAGCUAGUUGGUGAGGUAACGGCUCACCAAGGCCACGAUGCAUAGCCGACCUGAGAGGGUGAUCGGCCACAUUGGGACUGAGACACGGCCCAAACUCCUACGGGAGGCAGCAGUAGGGAAUCUUCGGCAAUGGACGAAAGUCUGACCGAGCAACGCCGCGUGAGUGAAGAAGGUUUUCGGAUCGUAAAACUCUGUUGUUAGAGAAGAACAAGGAUGAGAGUAACUGUUCAUCCCUUGACGGUAUCUAACCAGAAAGCCACGGCUAACUACGUGCCAGCAGCCGCGGUAAUACGUAGGUGGCAAGCGUUGUCCGGAUUUAUUGGGCGUAAAGCGAGCGCAGGCGGUUUCUUAAGUCUGAUGUGAAAGCCCCCGGCUCAACCGGGGAGGGUCAUUGGAAACUGGGAGACUUGAGUGCAGAAGAGGAGAGUGGAAUUCCAUGUGUAGCGGUGAAAUGCGUAGAUAUAUGGAGGAACACCAGUGGCGAAGGCGGCUCUCUGGUCUGUAACUGACGCUGAGGCUCGAAAGCGUGGGGAGCAAACAGGAUUAGAUACCCUGGUAGUCCACGCCGUAAACGAUGAGUGCUAAGUGUUGGAGGGUUUCCGCCCUUCAGUGCUGCAGCUAACGCAUUAAGCACUCCGCCUGGGGAGUACGACCGCAAGGUUGAAACUCAAAGGAAUUGACGGGGGCCCGCACAAGCGGUGGAGCAUGUGGUUUAAUUCGAAGCAACGCGAAGAACCUUACCAGGUCUUGACAUCCUUUGACCACUCUAGAGAUAGAGCUUCCCCUUCGGGGGCAAAGUGACAGGUGGUGCAUGGUUGUCGUCAGCUCGUGUCGUGAGAUGUUGGGUUAAGUCCCGCAACGAGCGCAACCCUUAUUGUUAGUUGCCAUCAUUCAGUUGGGCACUCUAGCAAGACUGCCGGUGACAAACCGGAGGAAGGUGGGGAUGACGUCAAAUCAUCAUGCCCCUUAUGACCUGGGCUACACACGUGCUACAAUGGGAAGUACAACGAGUUGCGAAGUCGCGAGGCUAAGCUAAUCUCUUAAAGCUUCUCUCAGUUCG
rnacentral:rRNA from 1 species